rnacentral:lncRNA from 1 species
AAAAACACUUUUGCAAAAUAUGGGAUAUGGCCCAUUAGUUAUGUUGGUAAAUAAGGCAUUGCCACAAAAAAUGUUUGGGGCACCUUUGAAUUCAUUUGAAAUCCACAUAAUUAAAAGGCAUUUAAUUAAAUAAUUUGGACUCUAUUUUAAUUAUUUUUGAGGCACCAAAACACUUUGUAAAAUAUUGGUUAUGAUUUUAUAAGAGCCUAGG